UACGUAGGGCGCAAGCGUUAUCCGGAAUUAUUGGGCGUAAAGAGCUCGUAGGCGGUUUGUCGCGUCUGCCGUGAAAGUCCGGGGCUCAACUCCGGAUCUGCAGUCGAUACGGGCAAACUAGAGUAUUGCAGGGGAGACUGGAAUUCCUGGUGUAGCGGUGAAAUGCGCAGAUAUCAGGAGGAACACCGGUGGCGAAGGCGGGUCUCUGGGCAAUAACUGACGCUGAGGAGCGAAAGCGUGGGGAGCGAACAGG
rnacentral:rRNA from 1 species